GAUGAACGCUGGCGGCGUGCCUAAUACAUGCAAGUCGAGCGAACGGCCGAGAAGCUUGCUUUUCUGAUGUUAGCGGCGGACGGGUGAGUAACACGUGGAUAACCUACCUAUAAGACUGGGAUAACUUCGGGAAACCGGAGCUAAUACCGGAUAAUAUUUUGAACCGCAUGGUUCAAAAGUGAAAGACGGUCUUGCUGUCACUUAUAGAUGGAUCCGCGCUGCAUUGGCUAGUUGGUAAGGUAACGGCUUACCAAGGCAACGAUGCAUAGCCGACCUGAGAGGGUGAGCGGCCACACUGGAACUGAGACACGGUCCAGACUACUACGAGAGGCAGCAGUAGGGAAUCUUCCGCAAUGGGCGAAAGCCUGACGGAGCAACGCCGCGUGAGUGAUGAAGGUCUUCGGAUCGUAAAACUCUGUUAUUAGGGAAGAACAUAUGUGUAAGUAACUGUGCACAUCUUGACGGUACCUAAUCAGAAAGCCACGGCUAACUACGUG
rnacentral:rRNA from 1 species